AACGAACGCUGGCGGCAUGCCUAACACAUGCAAGUCGAACGAGACCUUCGGGUCUAGUGGCGCACGGGUGCGUAACGCGUGGGAACCUGCCCUUAGGUUCGGAAUAACUCCCCGAAAGGGGUGCUAAUACCGGAUAAUGUCUUCGGACCAAAGAUUUAUCGCCCUUGGAUGGGCCCGCGUUGGAUUAGCUAGUUGGUAGGGUAAAAGCCUACCAAGGCGACGAUCCAUAGCUGGUCUGAGAGGAAGAUCAGCCACACUGGGACUGAGAAACGGCCCGGACUCCUACGGGAGGCAGGAGUGGGGAAUAUUGGACAAUGGGCGGAGGGCUGAUCCAGCAAUGCCGGGUGAGUGAUGAAGGCCUUAGGGUUGUAAAGCUCUUUUACCCGGGAUGAUAAUGACAGUACCGGGAGAAUAAGCUCCGGCUAACUCCGUG
rnacentral:rRNA from 1 species